GAAAUAAAUACAAAUAGGAAACAGACUAUAGCAUGAAUUCACGUUGAUGAAAAGUCCAUUUGAUCCCGUUUCUCACAAUUUCACAUUUUUUUCCGAGCAAAAUGACAAUUUUUGAUAUUUUUCAAAGCCUUAUUAAAAAAAAGUGUCAUUUCUCUAUAGGUUACAAGAGCGCAAUUAUUCGUAAUGCAUUUUCCAUAGGGUACCACUAGUGUUCCGUAUUUUUUUUCUCGAAGACUACACAAACUAGGGAAAAACGGGUGGCAGUUCCUGUUAGUACAAAUGCCAGUGUUGCAUUACAACCAAAAUAAAAAUAUAGGGUCAUGCGGCUCAAAUUGACUUAAAAUGUAG
rnacentral:lncRNA from 1 species